UACGUAGGGUGCAAGCGUUGUCCGGAAUUAUUGGGCGUAAAGAGCUCGUAGGCGGUUCGUCGCGUCGGCUGUGAAAUCCCGAGGCUCAACCUCGGGUCUGCAGUCGAUACGGGCGGACUGGAGUACUGCAGGGGAGACUGGAAUUCCUGGUGUAGCGGUGAAAUGCGCAGAUAUCAGGAGGAACACCGGUGGCGAAGGCGGGUCUCUGGGCAGUUACUGACGCUGAGGAGCGAAAGCGUGGGGAGCGAACGGG
rnacentral:rRNA from 1 species